GGAAAAUACCACCUCUCAUGUUCAUACCAUAUUGAUCCAAAAGAUAGUCCUCCAGUCCAUGUCAGUUCUUAUAAUGGCUUUGUAAGGUUUUAUUUUAUUUGGGGUACCACUAAACCACUUGUCUUAAUUUUUCAGAACAUAUGAUCUAAUGAUAACCUAAAUGUGUGGUCAUAAAAAAUCACAGACUUAAUUCUUCUGUUUACACUGGUUUAUGUCUUAAUUGAAAAUGUCCAUCUUGACUCCUCGAACAUGUGAACACUAUAUAUAAUUAUACACCUUAGUGACUCUCAGCUUCAGAAAUGAGUAUGGCAUUGAACUCACUCAAUUAUCCAGGGGGAAUACUGUAGAGACAAACCUUU
rnacentral:lncRNA from 1 species